UGAGGAAUAUUGCGCAAUGGGGGCAACCCUGACGCAGCCACGCCGCGUGAGUGAGGAAGGUUUUCGGACCGUAAAGCUCUGUCGAGCGGGAAGAAAUGCAUGGUGGCUAAUAUCCAUCAUGCUUGACGGUACCGCUAAAGGAAGCACCGGCUAACUCCGUGCAAGCAGCCGCGGUCAUACGGGGGGUGCAAGCGUUGUUCGGAAUUAUUGGGCGUAAAGAGCGUGUAGGCGGCUGGAUAAGUCAGAUGUGAAAUCCCUGGGCUUAACUCAGGAAGUGCAUUUGAAACUAUCCAGCUUGAGUAAGGUCGAGGAAAGUGGAAUUCCGGG
rnacentral:rRNA from 1 species